GCCUGGCUGGCUCAGUCGGUGAAGCAUGUGACUCUUGAUCUCGUGAUUGUAGGUUCAAACCCCAUGUUGGGUA
rnacentral:tRNA from 1 species